AGAGUUUGAUCAUGGCUCAGAAUCAACGCUGGCGGCGUGCCUAACACGUGCAAGUCGAACGAGAAAGGGAUCCUUCGGGAACCUGAGUAAAGUGGCGAACGGGUGAGUAGCACGUGGGUGACCUGCCCUCUGGAGGGGGAUAACCCGAGGAAACUCGGGCUAAGACCGCAUAAGCCUUUGACGUCAAACUCAAAGGGAAAAGGAUUUAGCUUUCGAGUUAGAUCCUACCGGAGGAGGGGCCCGCGUCCCAUUAGCUAGUUGGUGGGGUAAAAGCCUACCAAGGCUACGAUGGGUAGCCGGUCUGAGAGGACGGACGGCCACACUGGAACUGAGACACGGUCCAGACUCCUACGGGAGGCAGCAGUGGGGAAUUUUGGGCAAUGGGCGAAAGCCUGACCCAGCAACGCCGCGUGGAGGAUGAAGGCCCUCGGGUCGUAAACUCCUGUCCUAGGGGAAGAAAAAAAUGACGGUACCCUUGGAGGAAGCCCCGGCUAACUCCGUGCCAGCAGCCGCGGUAAGACGGGGGGGGCGAGCGUUGUUCGGAAUUACUGGGCGUAAAGGGCGCGCAGGCGGCCUGGGAAGUCUUGGGUGAAAGCCCCCAGCUCAACUGGGGAAUGGCCUGAGAAACCACUAGGCUGGAGUGCUGGAGAGGGAAGCGGAAUUCCCGGUGGAGCGGUGAAAUGCGUAGAU
rnacentral:rRNA from 1 species